GUGGGGAAUAUUGGACAAUGGGCGAAAGCCUGAUCCAGCCAUGCCGCGUGAGUGAUGAAGGUCUUAGGGUUGUAAAGCUCUUUCAGUAGGGAAGAUAAUGACGGUACCUACAGAAGAAGCCCCGGCUAACUUCGUGCCAGCAGCCGCGGUAAUACGAAGGGGGCUAGCGUUGUUCGGAUUUACUGGGCGUAAAGCGCACGUAGGCGGAUUGGUCAGUUAGAGGUGAAAUCCUGGAGCUCAACUCCAGAACUGCCUUUAAUACUGCCAGUCUAGAGUCCAGAAGAGGUGAGUGGAACUCCUAGUGUAGAGGUGGAAUUCGUAGAUAUUAGGAAGAACACCAGUGGCGAAGGCGGCUCACUGGUCUGGUACUGACGCUGAGGUGCGAAAGCGUGGGGAGCAAACAGGAUUAGAUACCCCUGUAGUCC
rnacentral:rRNA from 1 species